rnacentral:rRNA from 1 species
CCCUUAGAUGUUCUGGGCCGCACGCGCGCUACACUGAUGCAUUCAACGAGUCUAAAACCUGCUCUGAUAGGGGUGGGUAAUCUUUUGAAUGUGCAUCGUGAUUGGGAUAGAUGAUUGAAAUUUUUCAUCUUCAACGAGGAAUGCCUAGUAAACGCAAGUCAUCAGCUUGCAUUGAUUACGUCCCUGCCCUUUGUACACACCGCCCGCCGCUCCUACCGAUUGAAUGAUCCGAUGAAUAUCAUGGAUUGAGGAUGCAAGUAGGUUCACCUAUCUUCAUCUUCGAGAAGUGAAGUAAAUCUUAUCAUUUAGAGGAAGGAGAAGUCGUAACA